UACGUAGGGUGCGAGCGUUAAUCGGAAUUACUGGGCGUAAAGCGUGCGCAGGCGGUUCGUUAAGUCAGCUGUGAAAGCCCCGGGCUCAACCUGGGAACUGCAUUUGAAACUGGCGGGCUUGAGUGUGGCAGAGGGGGGUGGAAUUCCGCGUGUAGCAGUGAAAUGCGUAGAGAUGCGGAGGAACACCGAUGGCGAAGGCAGCCCCCUGGGCCAACACUGACGCUCAGGCACGAAAGCGUGGGGAGCAAACAGG
rnacentral:rRNA from 1 species